rnacentral:rRNA from 1 species
AGCGAACGCUGGCGGCAGGCCUAAAACAUGCAAGUCGAGCGCUCGUAGCAAUACGAGAGCGGCAGACGGGUGAGUAACACGUGGGAACGUACCCUUUGGUUCGGAACAACCCGGGGAAACUUGGGCUAAUACCGGAUAAGUCCGCAAGGAGAAAGAUUUAUCGCCGAAGGAUCGGCCCGCGUCUGAUUAGCUUGUUGGUGAGGUAACGGCUCACCAAGGCGACGAUCAGUAGCUGGUCUGAGAGGAUGAUCAGCCACACUGGGACUGAGACACGGCCCAGACUCCUACGGGAGGCAGCAGUUAGGAAUCUUGGACAAUGGGCGCAAGCCUGAUCCAGCCAUGCCGCGUGAGUGAUGAA